rnacentral:rRNA from 1 species
GACAGAGGGUGCAAACGUUGCUCGGAAUUACUGGGCGUAAAGCGCGUGUAGGCGGUUCCGCAAGUCAGGUGUGAAAGCCCAGGGCUCAACCCUGGAAGUGCACUUGAUACUACGGAGCUUGAGUACUGAAGAGGAGAGCGGAAUUCCCGGUGUAGAGGUGAAAUUCGUAGAUAUCGGGAGGAACACCAGUGGCGAAAGCGGCCGGCUGGGCCUGUUCUGACGCUGAGGCGCGAAAGCGUGGGGAGCGAACCGG